rnacentral:pre_miRNA from 1 species
GAAGCUGCCUCCCGAUUAAACUAUACGCUCGUAUUUAAAACACGUACAGUUUCGUUGGGCGGUUUCUUC